ACGGUUACAUCACUUUAAAACACCGAUUCCCGUACGAUCACCGAAGUUAAGCAACAUCAAGCUUGGUCAGUACCUAGACUGGUGGCCGUUUGGGAAUAGCGGGUGGUGUAA